AACGUAGGUACCGAGCGUUAUCCGGAUUUACUGGGCGUAAAGCGCGUUCAGGCGGUUUGGCAAGUCGGGCAUGAAAUCUCUCGGCUCAACCGGGAGAGGUUGUCCGAUACUUCCAGACUUGAGGGCAGUAGAGGGUGGUGGAAUUCCGGGUGUAGUGGUGAAAUGCGUAGAUAUCCGGAGGAACACCAGUGGCGAAGGCAGCCCCCUGGGCUGAGAUUGACGCUCAGGCACGAAAGCGUGGGGAGCAAACAGG
rnacentral:rRNA from 1 species